UACGUAGGCAGCGAGCGUUGUUCGGAGUUACUGGGCGUAAAGCGUGCGUAGGCGGUGUCUUAAGUUUGUUGUGAAAUCUCCCGGCUUAACCGGGAGGGUGCGGCGAAUACUGAGAUGCUGGAGUGCCGGAGAGGUAAGCGGAAUUCCUGGUGUAGCGGUGAAAUGCGUAGAUAUCAGGAGGAACACCUGCGGUGUAGACGGCUCACUGGACGGUAACUGACGCUGAGGCACGAAAGCGUGGGUAGCAAACAGG
rnacentral:rRNA from 1 species